AGAGUUUGAUCCUGGCUCAGGACGAACGCUGGCGGCGUGCCUAAUACAUGCAAGUCCAGCGGACCGAUGGGAGCUUGCUCCCUUAGGUCACCGGCGGACGGGUGAUUAACACGUGGGUAACCUGCCUGUAAGCACUGGGAUAACUCCGGGAAACCGGGGCUCAUACCGGAUGCUUGAUUGAACCACAUGGUUCAGUCUGAAAAGGUGGCUUUUACCUACCACUUACAAAUGGACCCGCGCCCCCUUAACUACUUGGUGAGGUGACGGCUCUCCGAGGCUACGAUUCAUAGCCGACCGCAGAGGGUGAUCGGCCACACUGGGACUGAUACACGACCCACACUCCUCCGGCAGGCACCAAUAGGAAAUCUUCCUCACUGAACCAAAGUCUGACGAACCAACACCCCUCGACUGACGAACGUUUUCGCAUCGUAAAACUUUGUUGUUAUGCAAGAACAUUCUACUACUUCUAAUAGGGCGGAACAUUGACGGUCCCGUCUCAGAAAGCCACUGGUAA
rnacentral:rRNA from 1 species